UAUUGUGAGGUGAUCAACUGGUAUUUUUUUUCAUUGAAAGUUACGUACUAGUUGACUAAGAAGACCUUCUGAUGUGUCAGAAAAUUUUUCUGAAAAUUUAAUAAUUUUCUUCGAAAAUGGGAAGGCCAAAAGAUACGCAACGAAAAAUUGGGAAAACGUCAUCAGAGCAAAUGGCUGCAGCUAUUAAUUUAGUUAUUGAACAAAGAAUGUCUAUUCGAGAGGCAGCAAAAGAAACAAAUAUUGCAUUUCAAACGCUACAUAGAAUGGAGAUUUUCAGAAACUGCAAAUCACUUGAGACAAUUUGAACAUUCUAAAAGGUAGAAGUGGAACUUCUGGCGUA